ACUCCUACGGGAGGCAGCAGUAGGGAAUCUUCCACAAUGGGCGCAAGCCUGAUGGAGCAACACCGCGUGAGUGAAGAAGGGUUUCGGCUCGUAAAGCUCUGUUGUUAAAGAAGAACACGUAUGAGAGUAACUGUUCAUACGUUGACGGUAUUUAACCAGAAAGUCACGGCUAACUACGUGCCAGCAGCCGCGGUAAUACGUAGGUGGCAAGCGUUAUCCGGAUUUAUUGGGCGUAAAGAGAGUGCAGGCGGUUUUCUAAGUCUGAUGUGAAAGCCUUCGGCUUAACCGGAGAAGUGCAUCGGAAACUGGAUAACUUGAGUGCAGAAGAGGUAGUGGAACUCCAUGUGUAGCGGUGGAAUGCGUAGAUAUAUGGAAGAACACCGAGUGGCGAAGGCGGCUACCUGGUCUGCAACUGACGCUGAGACUCGAAAGCAUGGGUAGCGAACAGGAUUAGAUACCCCGUGUAGGAUAGCG
rnacentral:rRNA from 1 species